CAUGCCUCUCGUCCAGGUGCCGGCGGCCGCCAUGAACAGCGGGGCGCGGGCCCGCGGCAGGAGGAGGGCAGCCCGCCCCAGCCCGCCUUCCCCCGCCAGCUCCGAGGGCGAGGAGCCCCUCAGUUCUUCCUCAUGCUCCCAGCUCUCCCCUGUUUCCCGGCACAGCUCCCGCAGCUGCGAGGAGGAGGAGGAGGAAGAGGGGGAUGUGGCCUCCCAGAGCCAAAAAGGCAAUAGAAAGGCUGAAGACUCUGAAAUAAUAGGGGGAAGAAAUCGUUCACCUUUGAAAGAUAAUCUUUCACCAUGGGAAGAAUGGUUCAUUUGCAAAGAGAAGGAACUACGUGCCCGCUUGCAAGUUAGAGCUCUGGAGGAAAUUAAUCUACAGCUUGAGAAAAUGAAAGAAAAGCAAGAAUCUGAAAGAAGGAGAAGGAUAGCUGAAGAGAAGCACAAGGAAUGGGUGCAAAAAAAAAGAGAAGAGGUAAAUAUUGCUUUAGUUGUAAAUAUUAUAGCACAUGCUAUGCUUUAGUAAACCUAUGUAAAAUUUGCUCAGGCUUUUUGGAUAACCGUGUUUUUACUUUGCUGAAUAAUGGCUGUUUUAAUUGAAAAUUAUAAAAUCAC
rnacentral:lncRNA from 1 species